rnacentral:rRNA from 1 species
GAUGAACGCUGGCGGCGUGCCUAAUACAUGCAAGUCGAGCGAACAGACGAGGAGCUUGCUCCUCUGACGUUAGCGGCGGACGGGUGAGUAACACGUGGAUAACCUACCUAUAAGACUGGGAUAACUUCGGGAAACCGGAGCUAAUACCGGAUAACAUGUUGAACCGCAUGGUUCAACAGUGAAAGACGGUUUUGCUGUCACUUAUAGAUGGAUCCGCGUCGCAUUAGCUAGUUGGUAAGGUAACGGCUUACCAAGGCAACGAUGCGUAGCCGACCUGAGAGGGUGAUCGGCCACACUGGAACUGAGACACGGUCCAGACUCCUACGGGAGGCAGCAGUAGGGAAUCUUCCGCAAUGGGCGAAGCCUGACGGAGCAACGCCGCGUGAGUGAAGAAGGUCUUCGGAUCGUAAAACUCUGUUAUUAGGGAAGAACAAAUGUGUAAGUAACUAUGCACGUCUUGACGGUACCUAAUCAGAAAGCCACGGCUAACUACGUG